AGAAACUUAUAUGCCUAGCCUAAUUUAGUCUAUCUUGAUGACUUUAGGCAGGCAGCUCAAACAAUAAGCAAUGAAAAUUGUAUGUAUAAAUUUAAAGUUUUCCAUUUCAUUAAAAUAACGUAUGAUUACAACAACUCAAACACCAAAUUAGACAACUACAAAAGAUAGGCACCCCAGGCUAGUUGAGCUCCCGUCGAUGACUCUAGAAAGGUCACCCAGCUCACGAGGCCACCCUUCACCUCGUUCUGUGUCCUGCAAUAACGCAAAGAAGCAAAAGAGGAUGGCCCGUAGAAUAAGCCUAUUUCUUGAGGCUCAACAACUCUCCGUCUUCUCUAUCAUUGCUCUGCACCUCGACUUUGGCAUCGCUAUCUGUAGUAAGGUUGAGGCUACUAAAGUCGGCCUAGGAGAAUAGCUUUGACACUUGGCUUUGACAUUCAAUGAAGACCUCCAUGAAAAA
rnacentral:lncRNA from 1 species